rnacentral:rRNA from 1 species
GCCCCAGACUCCUACGGGAGGCAGCAGUGGGGAAUAUUGCACAAUGGGGGGAACCCUGAUGCAGCGACGCCGCGUGGGUGAAGGAGCACCUCGGUGCGUAAAGCCCUAUCGGCAGGGAAGAAAAGCGAACAGGUUCGCCUGGACGGUACCUGACUAAGAAGCCCCGGCUAACUACGUGCCAGCAGCCGCGGUAAUACGUAGGGGGCAAGCGUUAUCCGGAUUUACUGGGUGUAAAGGGAGCGUAGACGGCAGCGCAAGUCUGAAGUGAAAUGCCGGGGCUUAACCCCGGAACUGCUUUGGAAACUGAGCAGCUAGAGUGCAGGAGAGGUAAGUGGAAUUCCUAGUGUAGCGGUGAAAUGCGUAGAUAUUAGGAGGAACACCAGUGGCGAAGGCGGCUUACUGGACUGUAACUGACGUUGAGGCUCGAAAGCGUGGGGAGCAAACAGGAUUAGAUACCCCGGUA